GGACGAUAACGGCGUCGAGCGGCGGACGGGUGAGUAAUGCCUAGGAAAUUGCCCUGAUGUGGGGGAUAACCAUUGGAAACGAUGGCUAAUACCGCAUGAUGCCUAUGGGCCAAAGAGGGGGACUUUAGGGCCUCUCGCGUCAGGAUAUGCCUAGGUGGGAUUAGCUAGUUGGUGAGGUAAGGGCUCACCAAGGCGACGAUCCCUAGCUGGUCUGAGAGGAUGAUCAGCCACACUGGAACUGAGACACGGUCCAGACCCCUACGGGAGGCAGCAGUGGGGAAUAUUGCACAAUGGGCGCAAGCCUGAUGCAGCCAUGCCGCGUGUGUGAAGAAGGCCUUCGGGUUGUAAAGCACUUUCAGUCGUGAGGAAGGUAGUGUAGUUAAUAGCUGCAUUAUUUGACGUUAGCGACAGAAGAAGCACCGGCUAACUCCGUGCCAGCAGCCGCGGUAAUACGGAGGGUGCGAGCGUUAAUCGGAAUUACUGGGCGUAAAGCGCAUGCAGGUGGUUUGUUAAGUCAGAUGUGAAAGCCCGGGGCUCAACCUCGGAAUAGCAUUUGAAACUGGCAGACUAGAGUACUGUAGAGGGGGGUAGAAUUUCAGGUGUAGCGGUGAAAUGCGUAGAGAUCUGAAGGAAUACCAGUGGCGAAGGCGGCCCCCUGGACAGAUACUGACACUCAGAUGCGAAAGCGUGGGGAGCAAAC
rnacentral:rRNA from 1 species